rnacentral:rRNA from 1 species
UACGGGGGGGGCAAGCGUUGUUCGGAAUUACUGGGCGUAAAGGGCUCGUAGGUGGCCAACUCAGUCGGACGUGAAAUCCCUCGGCUUAACCGAGGAACUGCCUGUCAGACUGUGAGGCUUGAGACCGGGAGAGGUGAGUGGAAUUCCCAGUGUAGCGGUGAAAUGCGUAGAUAUUGGGAGGAACACCAGUGGCGAAGGCGGCUCACUGGACCGGAACUGACGCUGAGGCGCGAAAGCGUGGGGAGCAAACAGG